rnacentral:rRNA from 1 species
CCUACGGGUCGCAGCAGUGGGGAAUAUUGCACAAUGGGCGCAAGCCUGAUGCAGCCAUGCCGCGUGUAUGAAGAAGGCCUUCGGGUCGUAAAGUACUUUCAGCGGGGAGGGAGGCGGUGAGGUUAAUAACCUCACCGAUUGACGUUACCCGCAGAAGAAGCACCGGCUAGCUCCGUGCCAGCAGCCGCGGUAAUACGGAGGGUGCAAGCGUUAAUCGGAAUUACUGGGCGUAAAGCGCACGCAGGCGGUCUGUCAAGUCGGAUGUGAAAUCCCCGGGCUCAACCUGGGAACUGCAUUCGAAACUGGCAGGCUAGAGUCUUGUAGAGGGGGGUAGAAUUCCAGGUGUAGCGGUGAAAUGCGUAGAGAUCUGGAGGAAUACCGGUGGCGAAGGAGGCCCCUGGACAAAGACUGACGCUCAGGUGUGAAAGCGUGGGGAGCAAACAGGAUUAGAUACCCUCGUAGUC